rnacentral:rRNA from 1 species
CCUACGGGAGGCAGCAGUGAGGAAUAUUGGUCAAUGGACGAGAGUCUGAACCAGCCAAGUAGCGUGAAGGAUGACUGCCCUAUGGUUUGUAAACUUCUUUUAUAUGGGAAUAAAAUGUUCCACGUGUGGGAUUUUGUAUGUACCAUAUGAAUAAGGAUCGGCUAACUCCGUGCCAGCAGCCGCGGUAAUACGGAGGAUCCGAGCGUUAUCCGGAUUUAUUGGGUUUAAAGGGAGCGUAGGUGGAUUGUUAAGUCAGUUGUGAAAGUUUGCGGCUCAACCGUAAAAUUGCAGUUGAAACUGGCAGUCUUGAGUACAGUAGAGGUGGGCGGAAUUCGUGGUGUAGCGGUGAAAUGCUUAGAUAUCACGAAGAACUCCGAUUGCGAAGGCAGUUCACUGGACUGCAACUGACACUGAGCCUCGAAAGUGUGGGUAUCAAACAGGAUUAGAUACCCGGGUAGUC